AUUGCUUCUCAGCAUUUUGGCUAAGAUCAAGUGUAGUAUCUGUUCUUACCAGUUUAAAUGGUAAAUGAGAAGAUUAUGUCUUAUUGCAAUAAAUUACUAGACUUCUGCAUUGUUAUGAAGUAUUUUUAUCAUAAUGCAGUUUGUCUUUAAGUGUAGCACAU
rnacentral:snRNA from 2 species